rnacentral:lncRNA from 1 species
AAAACUUCUCUUUUAUUACCGUCUACGGAGUAGUUCUUAUUACAUUAGCCUCAAACUUUUUAACGUACAUUAUUUAUGGAACACACACCAUGAUUAUGUAGUGUUAACAUACAUCAACAAACACAUUCAUCACCGUGGUAUAUACACUCUCGAGGGUUUCGUUUGGAACCUAGUAGUAGGGCCCAGGCGUGGUCUUCUGGAAGGGACAAAUGCUAACUUGCGGGAUGUUGCAAACUCUAGGUAAGUGCGUAGCGGUCUCGUAGAUACGGCUCACUACUUGCUGCAUUUGCUGUCCCUGCUGUCCCUGCAUUUGUCCCUGUUGUCGAACCUGCUGUUUAACGGCUUUGGAUGCUCCUUUCAAGGUUGGGCAAACGCAAAGUGGCUCUUCCUGGUGGAGCUCGUUGCAGCACUGCUGGAGUAGUGGCGGCCUCUGUUGUGGGCCCUGGGGGUUCUCCAUGUCAUCUUCAAAAUCAAACUCACCAUCGAGGGUCCAGCUUGGACCACUACCGGACUGCAUUGCCUGCUUGUGGAGCCAUUGUUGGCAAGCUUUCAGGUGUUGUGCUUGCUGAAACUCCUUCCUACAUUUUGGAAUCCUAAAUGGGCCGGCUGGGUUUGUGGCAUCUUCAUCGACUUCCACAACCGUCCUGUAGACGGAGGCAUUGGUGAGAAGGAAGAAAAAGGCGAGAGUUGCCGAGACGAGGAAGAGCUUGUUCGCCAUUUGUGUAUGUUUUUAACUUUGUUUGUUAUGAUGAGUUUUGGUUUGAGUAAAGAGUGAAGCUGUUAAGUUAAUUUAUAGGUGAGAAUGGAGAUUUGCAUGGCGAUCACGUGUAAUAAUGCAUGCAUUUGUGUGUGCUGUGAGAGAGAAGCUCUUAGGUGUUUGAAGUGAGUGACAAAUGACGAACAAAAACAGUCGUCCGCAUCUGCAUGCUAUGUGUGAUGUGUAGCUCAUGUCCUGGCGUAACAUCUUAUGAACGAUAUUUUUCAAAAAGAAGCUAACUUCAUAAAAUAAAAAACCUUCAGUAAGUGGGAUGACAGUCUAUAUACUUUGGAGGUAGUGCGGGGGCGGUUGAAAAUAUAUAUUGGGAGCUUAAUGAGAAUUCAGUAAUAGUAUAGAAGAUCUAUUGUAUGGUGAAAAUUAAAUGUGUCUCGUAGACUCGUACAAUAUGUAAUAAAUGCAGUAGAGCCUCUAGUGUAUGGACGAAUGUAUGGGUGCAAAUGCAAAUUAUGCAAUUGUACCCACUAUUUUUUCUAAAAAGAAAUAUUUUUUUUUUGGUAAAAUGUUAAAUUGAAAAGAUAUAUUUUCUAAAACAUUGUUAAAAUCUAACAAAAAUAGGCAAAAUUAACCUAGCAACCAGUAUUUUGUUGGUUUGCCCCCUCUGCUUUCACCAUUUUUUUGUUCUUCUUCUUACAUUUACUUCAAUGAAUGUUCAAAUUUAUUUGAUUUAAAACAUUUACUUCUAUGCUUUCUGCCAUUACGUUCACGCCAAAUAGUGUGUACACCACCAGAGCCGAGCCUGCGGACAGUUUUAUUAAAUUUUAUUUUUUUUGAACAAAGUUCGAUAGUUUUGUUUUGUGAUCGCGUCUUCAACGUUUUAUUAAACUUUUGAAUGAAGCCUUCAUGCUUUAUAGGAGCUCCACUAAAAAAUAAUAUAUAUGUAUAUGUAUUUUUAUUUUUGGUAUAAUAACAUAUAAAUAUUAGCUGUGAAAUAAAUACUGAAUGAAAUUUUGAGUUGACAAAAAUGAUAAAAUAUAUUAUUUAUAAACUUUAUAAAAAUAUUAAUUAUCAGGGCCCCGAAAAUCUCAAAAUCGGCUGGACACCACUGCUUGAAACAUGUAUCACAAAAUGAAGAGAAUGGUUAUGUCCCAACCAUCAUCCACCAAGAGUUGAACAAUAUAUAGUAUUAGGUAUUUAGCAUUAUUAAAGAUAUAGAUGAUCAAUGAUAAAGAAAUUUACUACCUUUGCUAUCAAAGUACUGUUUAUAAGUAAAGGCAACAUCAGUAUAUUUGCAGGAAUUUAGUGGAUACAUGAGAUUGACAGAUGCAUGGUGAUCUAAAAGAGUUUGUUAGUAUUUUUGUUUUUUUAGAAAGGAAGAGUUUCCAAGUACUUUUGCAAAAAAUAUAAAAUAAAAGAGUUUAGAAGUAUUUGACUAUACCAGAUUUCAGUCAUUGAUUGAUCCCAGUGGAUGAUUUUUUAUUAUUGGCCCCGAAUGCUUAUAUUAACACUAGUUGUUUGUCCGCGCGAACGAUGAUAUUUAUUUUAUUGAUGGUGUUAAAUCUUUUAUUAAUAUAGCUUAAAAUAUUAGAUGGUUAACUAAUGUGAUAUCUUUAAAAAAUUUGUUUAUAAGUUUCUUGGUAAAAUGUUUUGGGGUUGAUCAACAUGUUUUUUUCCCUUGUGACCAUCAUGUUUGUUUCGUUUUUUGAUAUACAAUAAUUUUAGAGUAGCUGUUUUUCCAUCCCAUAAUUUCAACCACACAAAUGUGGAUCUGCUUCAUUUUUGUUAUAAAUUUUUUUCUAUUUUAAACUUGUUCAAGUGUAAGGUUAUGUCCACCUCAUUUUUUUUGUCGAUGAAAGGAACAUAUCUGUUCAACUGUGAUGACUUCGGUAGCGUAGGAGGUAUAGUGGAAGUUUUUGUGCACGUUAAUGCCGUGGGUGAAGGUGCUGAGUUCUUUUUGGCUCUGCUGCACACUCUGUUUUAUUGUAUGUGGCUCUGUUCAAAUAUAUGAAAUGAUCCAGUUUGGGGAGGGGGGAAGGUUAUGUCCACCUCCUUCACUCUGGUGUAUUUGAUAAACAGCGACAUAACCACCAAGUUCCCAUAAUGCCAUAACAGCCUCUGUACCCAGUUAAACCUCUAAUCACCUCCAAAGCCAUGGAACUAAUCGAAAUAGGAAGCUUUAACUUAUUUUACAGUAAAGCUUAGAAGAGUCAAACCAUCAAAAUCCAAAAAUAAUUACGAAAUCAGCAGAAGAAAAACUAACAUGCUAAAGUCUUUUGAGUAUCGUUGGCAAAUUUGGGAGGUAAAAUCUACACAAUGCAAGUUUAAGGCCUUUUUGUUUUUCAAUCUUCAUCUGAGAUUCUGAGCCCGACUCUUUGGAACUCGACCCAUCUUGUUUACUAUCUUUGAACCUUUUUUUGGGUCGAAUGAUCCUUUCCUCUUAUCUUCUUCGUCCUCACUAUAUUUGCUUUCAUAAUUCACUUCAUUCUCAUCUUCUUGUGAAGCCUCACCCUCAAAAUCAUUGGUUCUUUUCAAAACCUCGACUUUCAGUGAUGUCUUUCGAUCACAACUGAUCCAAGCAUCUCCUAGGUAGAACUCAUAAGCAAAUCAAAUAAUAAGUAUCUUCUGCACGUUUUAGGCAUUUCUUUAUUACCAAUCUUGAUCGGCUUUUAACCUUCUCUAACUUCAUUGUUCUUUGCCUCGACGCCAUAAUAUUUCCGCAAAACAAUCAUUAUAUCAAGAACCAAUAAAGGUUUAUUGAUCUCCUCAGAUUUGCAGUAGCCACUUACCAUAAAAUUAGAAGAUGUGGCAUCAUGAACAACACCAGAAACUUGAGGAAACCAAAUCUUGUUGACCUGACCUGUCCGGAAAACAAUAAACUGUGAAAGAACAUUUCCUAAAAUUUUAAAGGAAAAGUCUUGCCACCAUUGAAAUACCGCCAACCCAUUAAACUGAUAUAGCAUCUAUAAGAGCACCUGUAACGGGGGUACAUGCAGGGUCCUUAGCGUUUAAUCAUAGGUUAGGAGGAUUAUAAUAAUAGUUGUUUGGUUAAUAGGAGUAAGGAUUGAUACGUUAAUAAGGAUUUUUAGGACUUGAUCCUUAGGGUACGUGGCGUGUUUUGAAUGGAUGGAAGGGUUUACGGUUUGGUUACGCGUAAAACAUUGGUUAUACUCGACCGAAGCAGAAAAAAAAAUAGUCCCGACGAAGAAAGGCGAUUGCUCUCGACGAAGCGAAGGCGAAUCCCGCUACGAAAGACGGCGAUUCCCGCGGCGAAAGACGGCGAUUUGUCUCCGUUGGCUGAACAAGGUAAAUCGCACCCUUCUGAUGUAGAUUAAUCGAUAUAGAUUAGUUUGCAUGUUGAAUCGAUCUCGUUUGAAAUUAGGGUUCGAACAUAAUUUGGGGGUUUGUUGCGUUUGUACUUAACGGUUUGAAAACGAUACUGCUUUCAUCGAUUUCGGGUUCUUCUCGUUUGAAAUUAGGGUUUCAAUUCAGAUUUGGGGCUUUUUGCGUUUGUACUAAUCGGUUUGAAAACGAUUUGCGUUUGUACUAAUCGGUUUGAAAACGAUACUGCUAGCAUCGAUUUGGGGUUCUUCUGGUUUGAAAUUAGGGCUUCAAAAGGAUUUGGGGCUUUUUGAGUUUGUAUUAAUUGGUUCGAAAAAUAUCCUUAGCGUUUCUUUCUUGCACAGUUUUGCUAGCUACAACUCAACUAUCUGUUUGAGUGUAUUGAGUUUAUGUGUUUGUUGUUAAGGAUUACAAGUAGAAGUUCAGUUUUCUGUGAGACAUAAAAAAAAGCUUCCUAAUUUGUUCUCUCGGAUGAGCUGCAAGUUUAUGAUCAUGUGUGUGUGUGUGUUGUUAGGAUUUGUUUAGCUCUGUUCUUAAUUUUUUUUUUCAUUCUCUCUUAUGUUUAGCUCUGUUCUUAAUUUUUUUUUUCUUGCAGGUUAACGAAUAUGGGACAAGAUUAUUCAUACAGCCAGCCUUUCUCAUCAUCAGACUCGAUGGACAUUACCUCCCUUCUUCAAGCAGAAGCUUAGUUGUAUGCGGAUGAAGGUCAGAGUAGCUACAAUAAUCCAGAGCCGGUUCAGUACCCACCUCAACCAGAGGCAGAUGAUGGAAUCCCGAGGCUAUGCUACUGUGGUGGUGAGCCUGUUGUUGCAACAUCCUCCACUCAUAAAGAUCCCGGCAGGAGGUACUUCACAUGCGAGAAUGUGGAUGAUGGAGACUGCCACAUCUGGAAAUGGUGGGAUGUUGCGGUCACAGAGGAGAUGAGCGAGUUGCAGAGACAACUUAGGCUGCUUAAGGAUCAAGGCAAUGCGAGUGAGCAUAAGCUUAUGCUGCUAGAGAAGAGUGUGUUUGAGUUAUCUAACCAGAAAUCAGGAGUUACGCUAAUGAGAGUGAGCAGAAGCUGGUGCUGUCUAUUAGUUUUAAUAGGUUCCGUGUUCUUGUUACUGUGUGGUGAGUAUAUCUCCUUGUGCUUUUCGUAGUUCAUUUUUUAAUAUUCUGCGUGGUGAGUUCGUUGACUAUUUUUUCUCUUUCUUUUCAGGAUUAGCUUCAAACGAGAGUGUCUCAAAGAACCAAUGUCAUUACUAACAAGGUACGCCCACUUGAAUAAAAGCAAUUAGUCAUUUAAUGAAGGUGAAUUGAUUUCUACCGUCGUAACUCCUCGGAUUUGAUCGGUUAUAAAUGUUAGCGUUUAGAAAUAGUGAACUGAAGACUCUAGCUUGCUAGGAUUGUACUAACUAGUCGGAUUUGAUUGGUGAUAAAUGCUAGUUCUUUGCUUCCUAUCUUCCUAACUGCUCAGAUUUUAAUUGCUUUAAUUGAAAAAAAAAAUGUAAAUGGCUUACUUAAGACUCUGUGUUGCUAAUAGAGCGACACAACCAUUCUCUAACCAUGGAUAACACCACUGGUUUUGUUAACCUACUUUAUAGUCAAUCUCCAUUUGAAAUUGAUUCAACACAACCUGCUGCCGAGUCCGGUUCGAAGGAGAGGAGGAAAUGGUCACUGAAAGCGGAUCAAAUCCUCAUUGGGGCUUGGCUUAACACAAGUAAAGAUUAUGUGGUCAGCAAUGAGCAAAAAGCUAGUGCUUUUUGGAAGAGGAUUGUUCAAUACUACAACGCGAGCCCUUAUCUGGCUGGGACUAUACCUAGAGAGCUUGGGCAGUGCAAGCAGAGGUGGGCUAGGAUAAAUGAGCAAGUCUGCAAGUUUGUUGGGAGCUAUGACGCGGCUCUUAGGGCACAGAGAAGUGGUCAAAACGAUGAUGAUGUGAUGAGAGCUGCCCAAGAGUUCUUCUUCAACGAUCACGGAGUCAAGUUCAGCAUGGAACAUGCCUGGAGGGAGCUGAGGCAUGACCAGAAAUGGUGCUCCACCUAUGUGACUAAGGACGGUGGGAGUCAAAAGCGCAAACCAGUCCAGGCGGAGGUUGAUAGACAAGCGGAAGUGGGAGAACCAGAGGAAAGACCAGUCGGGGUCAAGGCAGCUAAAGGUGUUACCAAGAAGAAGAAGAGUGCUAGAGAAGAAGAAUUGUCACAGUUACAGGGCGUGUUGGAAGUUAAAGAAAAACUCGCUAGGCAUAAGUUGCUUGAUCGUUUACUCGGGAAAAAAGAGCCUCUAUCUGAGAUGGAGACAUCUCUUAAGCUCAAACUAAUGUCUGAGAUGCUAUAAACUGAUGUUAACCGUAUGUUAAGUUGUGACUGUUGUUUUGUGUACUUGUUUACUAUUAAACUUCGCUCACUCUUGUCUUUUGUGUUGUUGCAGGGUCAUGUGAACGAAGUCACGGGUGCAUUUGGUGUUGUGAAAGUCUUUUGUUGUUUAGCUCAAGUGAAUCAAGUCACGAGAUUCUAUCUAUGUACUAUAAGUAGUUGUCAUUUGCACGUCUUUAGCUAUGUAUCUCUUUCGCUUUGCUUCCUCUUCAUCAGAACUUGUAUCUUCUUGUUUCAGUACAACAAAUUGCUUCUCUUGUAAUAUUUUCGUUUUAGUACAACAAGUUGCUUCUCUUGCUUGGAUUUCUAUCCAACGAUCUCAAGUUCUGAUUCUAUUUAACUACAACUACAUUAUCUAUAGGUAACACUGGUUCUCCUCUUUUAUAUACCGAGAUUGUGUAGUAUCUAAAUCAUUUGUAGUAUAUUCUUCAGUAACUUGUGUAGUAUAUACUUACUAAACUAGAGAAUUAUAUAAUUCAUUUGAGAAACUUUGAAGUUAAUCUGAUCACUAAACUUGUCAAGUAUAUUUGAGAAAUUUUAGUUCCAAAGUUAAUCUGAUCUCAAGUUUUGUUAAAUCAUUUGUAGUAUAUUUUUUUUGUAACAAAACUUUGGAACUAAAAUAUAGAACUAAAAACGUAUUUUUUUUUUGGAACAAAACUUUGGAAUUAAAAUAUACAACUAAAAACCUAUUUUUAAAGGAAGGAUCCCUAAAAAAUGUCAUCCUCUUCAUCCGAUGAAGUCGAAGAAAGACUGGAUGAAUUAUUCGAUGAAAUCGUCGAAGAUACAUACAACGACAUUAUGGAGGGCCAAACCUAUAAGCAAAGGAAACGUGCUUACAUAGAACGAAACCGUGAAGCCGGACACAACCGUUUAUGGAAUGACUAUUUCAGCGAAGAAGCGACAUUCUCGACACAUUUAUUCAGACGUCGUUUCCGCAUGAGUAAGGAAUUAUUCAUGCGUAUUGUCCAUGCCCUCUCAGAGAACGUUCCUUUCUUUCGACAAAGAAGAGAAGCAACCGGGAGGUUGGGCCUGUCUCCACUACAAAAAUGUAUGGCAGCUGUUCGUCUGCUUGCUUAUGGUUCUGGGGCUGACACGGUAGACGAAUAUCUUCGACUUGGAGAAAGCACGGCACUUUCGUGUCUACACCAUUUCACUGAAGGAAUAAUACUGUUAUUUGGAGAUGAGUAUCUACGAAGACCCACACCAGAGGAUCUUCAACGACUCCUCGAUAUUGGAGAGAAGCGCGGGUUUCCCGGGAUGGUAGGAAGCAUUGACUGUAUGCAUUAGGAGUGGAAGAAUUGCCCAACCGCUUGGAAAGGGCAGUACGCACGUGGAUCAGGAAACCCGACAAUUGUCUUAGAGGCUGUGGCUUCACAAAAUCUUUGGAUAUGGCACACCUUUUUUGGUCCUCCAGGUAUCUUAAACGAUAUUAAUGUCCUCGAUCGGUCUCCUAUUUUUGAUGACAUUUUUCAAGGCCGAGCUCCCAGGUUAGAGUAUGUGGUCAACGGACACAUGUAUAAGUUGACUUACUACCUCACAGACGGUAUAUAUCCCAAAUAGUCAACAUUUAUCCAAUCUAUCUCGCACCCUCAAGGUCCUAAAGCAAAGUUAUUUGCUAGAAUUCAAGAAACAACCCGAAAAGAUGUGAAACGGGCGUUUGGAGUAUUACAAGUUCGAUUUGCGAUUGUCAAAAUCCGGCUCUUUCAAUGGACAAAGAAAAGAUAGGGAAGAUUAUGAGAGCAUGUAUCAUACUACACAAUAUGAUUGUCGAAAAUAAACGAGAUGGAUACAUUCAAUUCGAUAUAUCUGAAUUUCAAGAGGGAGACGUCACUAGAAGUUCACGGUGGAUACCGACAGGCCUACAACUAUUGCUAAUAUGCUCGGCAUUCGGGAUGAUGGAUAAGCGUUUACAUCAACGUUUGAAAAAUGAUUUAAUUGAAAAUAUUUAGAACCAAUUUGUUGAUUGUUGGUUAAUAAAUAUUGUAUCUUUAUCUUUAAUAAUGCAAUAAAUAAAAAUUUUAAUUUCACUUUUAUAAAAAAGUUUAUUAUUUUUAUAUUCCUAAGAACUCCAAAUUGGAGAACAUCAUUGGACUAACAAUUCUGAUUAUGAUCCUUAACUAUUCAAAAAAAAGAAAAUAGUUAAUUAAUCCUAAGGACUCCAUUUGCUGGUACACUAUUGCGGGUGCUCUAAACAAUCCAUCAUCGGCAUUUCCUAGAAAUCAGUUCUGAUCUGAAUCUAUAAGAAAUUACAUUGUAAUAAAGGCUAACUUCCUCUCCAAGUGAUGUUUUACCUUUCAUACGGUUGUGUUGCAGUGGAUAUUAAGUUGGGAAGAAAGUAAGUGUGAGGCCAAAGUGGUUUGUUCCGGCUUGCAAUGUUUGAACUUGUUCACCCUCUUCAAGUCAAUCCUUCCUAAGAUUUGCUGUUAAUUUUGACCCGGCUGUUGCUCCGCGGCGAUAUGGAAACAUCCCUUAUAUAUUAAUUGAGGAACAUUUGAAAAGAUGUAACCUCAAUUUUGUAUUAAUUAAAAGAGGCUCCAAUGCAUAGGUGGCACUCAAUUAGGUAGUCAAUUACAUUCAAUUGAAAAAUAAGUAGGUCCACAUUCGAUUUUUAUAUGUUGUUAGAUACAUAAAUUGGUCAAACUAUAUGAUAUAAUGAUAUGAUAUGAUAUUUUCUUUCCUUAAAUAAAACCUACGGAAUUACCAUAAAUGACUAAUAUAUAUAUGACAAUUAAUGAGUUUAAUAAUAAAGAUUUGAUAACAAUGUAUAUCUCCUCCAUCAUUUUUUGUUUAAUUUUAUAUUAUUAAAAUAAAUUAAACAAUCAAAUUAGCUAUAAAAAUAAAAUUUAGAUUUUUUCGUAUAUGUUAUAUUUUGAAUUUUUAAAAACGACAAUAAAUGACUAAAACUAUUAAAAUUAUUAUGUUAAAAAUUAAUGAUCAAUUGUUUUCUAUUGUGACUGGCACGACAACACUCCAGAUCGAGGUGUGAGAACAGAUGCAUUUGGUGUUACAUCAGUAAAUUCAAGACGGAAGCUGCAAUAUUAUGAUCCUUUCAUUCUUGCUUCUCAGGCCGAUCAGGUUUGUUAUAUCAAGUACCCCCGGGUAAGGAACAGAGAUGAUCCAUGGGUUACUGUUACAAGACUCAACCCGAGAGGCCGAGUUCAGGGAAGUUCUGAGCUGGAAGACCCACUACAACCAAGCACAUCCGGCAACUUAAGUGCAGCAGAAGAUUUAGCUGGAGUUGGCCUUGUAGUCGAUUUAACCGACUUUGGAGAGGAAGCCGUCGUUCACGUAGAGGAUGAACCAGUGAUUGGAGAGUUUCACCAAGAUCCAGAUUCAGAUUCAUCUGGUGAUGAUGACUCGGAAACAGACUACCAUUGAAUAUAGAUAUGUGUUUGUUAAACCAUUAUAAAAUAUAAAUUGAUAGAUAUAUUAUAAUUUAUUUUUAAUUUAUUUGUGGCUUUAAACAAAUUUGAAAUGAUUUAAAAAAACAGGUACUAAAAAACAUGUGCAUAUUUGCUUGGAUCAAAAUUUGGCAGCCUUUAUAAUAAAUAUUUUAAGGCAUUUGACAUACGGAAACUCUUUUCAUCUGCUAUCUCUAAUUCAAUAUUUUUUUUAAAUACUGACUGCAUUACUUUCAUCGCAUGAACAACAGCCAGUGUGUUAUCCAACACUUUUAAGCUUUUACGAAAACAUCAUUUUGGAAGCUACAAAUGCUAAUAUUUUGAGACUCUUGACUCUGUUUUAUUUUAAAUUUUGUCAACAGACGACUCUGUCUUAUCUUAGAGUUUUACAUUUCCCGUUCUGAUGAAAACCAUCAUAUUAAAACUUACACAUAAGUCAAAUUAGUGGUUUCAAAUACCGAGUCCGUAAUAUGUAUUUACUGUGUUCGAACGGUUUAAUAUAUCCAUGGAAUAUAUCGUACUAUCUUAUUCACACAACAUUUAUAUUUCGAAUAAGUCAACACAACUGGUGUGUGACAUAACCGCAUAAAAUAAAAUACAUACACCAUAAAUUAUUCUGUCAUAAUUAAUAACUAGAGAUUGACCCGCACGCCCGUGCGGGUGUUAAUUUUUACUUUCUUAUAAAUCGAUAUUUUAUUUUUAUGAUUAGUAUUAUAUAUUUUAUAUGUGUCAUAAUAUAAUUAAUUGCAUAAGUACUUUUAAAUUUCUAUACAUCAUAAUCGAACCUGAAUCAAAUAGAGUAAUAUGAUUACUUUUGGUUAUUUGGUUAUUUUUAGUUUAAUUUGAAUUCAGCAUACCCGAAUUGAAUCGGUUAAUAUUCUUACUUUUCAUAUAAAUAUCCGUACCGGCGUCAAAUACAUUAGUUUUUAGAUAUUUGUAGGUUUGUAUAUAUCAAGACUGAAUUCAUCUGGACCCGAUUCAAAAUACACAUGAAAAUUUUUUAAUACUGAAAUGAAGUCUAGUUUCAAAACUCAAAAAGCAUGAUAACCCAAAGAAAUAACUCGUAACUGAAUAGUUAUCCGAAUGUCCAUGUCUAACCGAUACAUAAGUAAAUUAAAAAAAACAUUUGUUAACCAUUUUGAAUUCUUAUCACAAAUAGAGUGGUUUCAUUCAAAUAUGUCGAAUUAUUAUAGUUAAUAUGUAAAUAAUCCUGGAAAAAUAUUAUAGUAAAUAUAAUUAAUGAGAUAGUUAAAAGUGAGAAAAUGAAUAUAAAAGAUAAAAUAAAAAAAUUGAAAACAAAUAAGUUUUGUUUUUCUUGUCACUAUUAUAUAUCAUAUAUAUGUCAUCAUAUAAUUAAUCAUAUUUUAUAUGUACCAUAAUAUAAGUAAUCAUAUAACUAAUAGUAUUUUAUAUGUACCAUCAUAUAAAUAAUCACAUAUAUUAUAUUUAUAAACCUAAUAUGAAAUAUAAAAACCAUAAUUUAAGUUGGUGUUUUAAUUAAGUUUUGUAUUGUAUUUUUCUUAUAUAUAGUAAAAAUAUUUUUUUAAAUGGUUAUUGGAAAAUAUUUUAGUAAAUUGUUUUUUAAAUAUAUAUAUAUAUAUAUAUUUUUGAAUCAAUUUUUUAUAUAAAUUAGUUUUAAAUUAUUAUUUUGAUUUGAAUUUUGUAUAGUAAUAAUUAAAAGUGAGAAAAAUGAAUGUAAAAGAUAAAAUAAAAAUUGAAAACAAAUAAUUUUUUUUUUGUACUUCUGUAAUAAAUUAUAUUAACUUAUUUAGUAAAUAUAAUAGAUGAAGGGUUAGAAUUGAUUAACAAUAGAAUAAAAAUCUUUUAAAAAAUCAAUUAAGAUAAGUAAGUAUUAUUUUGUACUGCUAUCCAUGUUUCCAAACAAUUCUCAUUUAUACUACUAUCCAAGUUUCCAAACAACUCUCAAAUGUACUUCAGUUUUAAUAAUAUAGAUGAAGCCAAACUAUUGUUUCAUUCUCCAAAAUAUAAUAAAAAUAAUAACUUAAUCCCGCGCAAGGCGCGGGUCUUAUCCUAGUUAUAAGUUAUAACAUCAGAUCUUUAAAAACUGGUCAAAGAAGAAAGUUUUGAAAAAACCUAAUAAGCGAAUCAUUCCAAGAAUUGAUAUUUGUUUCUUUUUGAAGAACCUGCAUCAAAUUUCAUAAAAUAGUCAGCGUAAGAUGAAAGCAAAACCUGAAAACGAAUCACCGAUCUACAGAGACUUUAGGUACUGCCGCUUCCAAUCAAAAUAAGUGGUAUUAGGGGUUGAGACUGGGCCGACAAAAUCACUAUGUGGAGCCUUCUUAGAUCUGAAGCAAAGCAAAUGGUUACUGUAUAUCAAACCAAUAAAAGAAAGUUGAAGAUGAGAGAUGAGGAACUAAAGAGUUACUGGUGUCUUGAUGCAGCUACGAAGACCUGAUUUAUUAAUAUAUAUAGAUUUUGGCCUAUACUGUUCAGUAGACUACUAUCUCAUUGUGAAUAGAUUGAUUCGUUUGGAACAAAAAAAAAAUUCAAUUCUUUUGAUCUUUUUGGCGUAUCCUUCAGUAUCACUUUAUUAUCAAGUAGCAAGAGUAACAACAACAAAAAAACUUCUCUUUUAUUACGGUCUUCAGAGUACUUCUUAUUACAUUGGCCUCGAUCGAUUUUAAAGUACAUUAUUUAUGGAACACACACCAUCACUGCGUAGUGUUAACAUACAUCAACAACCACACUCUUCGCCGUGGUAUAUACACUCCCGAGGGUUUCGUUUGGAAUCUAGUAAGAGGGCCCAGGCAUGGUCUUCUGGAAAGGACAAAUGCUAACUUGCGGGAUGUUGCAAACUUUAGGUAAGUGCGUAGCAGUCUGGUAGAUACGGCUAAUUACUUGCUGCAGCUGCUGUCCCUGCUGUCCCUGUUGUCCUCCUUGUUGUCGAACCUGUUGUUUAACGGCUUUGGAUGCUCCUUUCAAGGUUGGGCAAACGCAGAGUGGCUCUUCCUGGUGAAGCUCGUUGCAGCACUGCUGGAGCAGCGGAGGCCUCUGCUGUGGGCCCUGGGGGUUCUCCAUGUCGUCAUCAAAAUCGAACUCACCGUCAAGGGUCCAGCUAGGACCACUACCGGACUGCAUUGCCUGCUUGUGGAGCCAUUGUUGGCAAGCUCUUAGGUGUUGUGCUUGCUGAAACUCCUUCCUACAUUUUGGAAUCCUAAAUGGGCCGGCUGGGUUUGUGGCAUCUUCAUCGACUUCCACAACCGUCCUGUAGACGGAGGCAUUGGUGAGAAGGAAGAAAAAGGCGAGAGUUGCCGAGACGAGGAAGAGCUUGUUCGCCAUUUGUGUAUGUUUUUAACUUUGUUUGUUAUGAUGAGUUUUGGUUUGAGUAAAGAGUGAAGCUGUUAAGUUAAUUUAUAGGUGAGAAUGGAGAUUUGCAUGGCGAUCACGUGUAAUAAUGCAUGCAUUUGUGUGUGUGCGCUGUGAGAGAUAAGCUCUUAUGUGUUCGAAGUGAGUGACAAGUCACUAACAAAAACAGUCAUCCGCAUCUGCAUGCUAUGUGUGAAGUGUAGCUCAUGUCCUGGCGUGACAUCUUAUGAACAAUAUUCUUAAAACAGAAUGUACAAACUUAACUUCAAAAAAUUUAAAAAAACCUUCAGUAUGUGGGGUAAGAGUCUAUAUAUACUUUGGAGGUGGUGCGGGGGCGGUUGAAAAUAUAUAUUGGGAGCUUAAUCAGAAUUCAGAAAUAGUAAAGAAGAUCUAUGUCAUGGUGGAAACUAAAUGUGUCUCGUAUAAUAUCUAACUAAGUAGUAACCCGCGUUUUGCGCGGGAUUAGAUAUCUAAUAAUAUGUUGAUUGUAUAUAUUAUGAUUAUGUACAACAUAUAAGGUGUAGCUCAAUCUCUAUAAUAUUAUUUGAGAAGUCACUUUCCUAUGUGUCGCUUCCACAUUAAUUAUCAGGAUGGUUGAUUAUACUGAUACCCUUAAUGAAUUUAAAAUAUUAAAUACUAUUAUUUAUUUAUUUUAUUUAGCUUGCUUUUAAAAAAUUUCCAAAAACAUAUACACAUAAUAAAAAGGAAUUUUUAAUAAAGUUAAAAAACGAAUUGAAAAACGAAAGAUCUCUAUAAUAUAACUAGAGUCGGCCCGCCCGAGUAUACUUUUCUUAUGAUUUAAGUUACUAUUUUUAUAUGAUUUUGUGCUUUGUGUUUUGGGUUUGCAUUUGCAAGAAAUGUGUAUAUAAUGAUUUAUGUCUUUAAAAAAGUUUUAGAUGAGAAAAGAUUAUACGUGGUAAGAUAUAUUUUACUUGUUUACAAUAAUUGUUUCUAUAUUAAAGAGUUAUGGCAUUAAUAUAUUGUGAGGGCUUCAAAUGGACGAUUUCAUAUUCGAUGUCAAAAUGGUUUAUUUUUUUCUAAUAUUAAUUCUUGUAUAGAUUAAGUAAAUAUUUUCUUAUUUAAUCUCAUACUCAUCGAUCUAAAUUGAACGGUUAUGGGAUAUUUUAAAUUUUUUGUGUUACAAUUGAAAUAAAAAGCAAAGAAAAACACAUUGGUUAAAUAUUUAAUUGGUUUAAAGAGAAUCAUGAACAGCGAUCCUUCGGAAAAAUAUUAAUUGUAUGUUUUCUAUCUCCUUUUAGAAUUUUUUUUGUCUUUUUAACUUUCUAUAUUGUUACCUCUGUAUACUUUAUAACAUUUAAUUUCUGCAAUUACUUCUUUAAAUACUUAACAUGCAGAUUUUAAUACUUUACUAUGACAUUUCCAUUUCUUUUUUUUUUUACUACAGUUAAUAGUUCUACAAAUAUAAUCACAGCUACAUCAUUCACAAUUUACAUAUUGUAAAAUAUGUAUAUAACUCUGUCAAAACAAUUUUCGUAUACUUAAAUAACUUCAUCCACUGCCACUUUCAAGCUCUCAGAGUUACAAAUCUGAAUUGAUCAUGGGUCUUAAGAUGGAGAGCAAAGCAAACCUGCAAAUAUCGCAGAAAGUUGUUAUGCCGCAGAGAACCACAUAAACCUGUAUACCCUAGUAAUAUAUUUAUAUAUAUGUUGAUAUAUAUAUAUAUAUAUAUAUAUAUAUGAUUUCAUAAAAAAAAGUUCACAAAAUAGUAAUAUUACAUUUAAAAAAUAUUUUUAAUUAACAUAAAAUAUACUUUUGAAAUAAGAAAAUACUUUAUUUAUAUCUAUAUUUUCUUAGAUGAAAAAUAUAAAUUUGUAUAUAAUGUGAUUUCAUUAAAAAUAUUUACACAGAUAAUCUUGAUAUUAGAAACAUAAAUAAUAUUUCUUUUAAAACAUAAUUUUAAACAAUACAAAAAAAAGUUCAAAGUAAUAGAAUUUUUUUUAUAUAUCCAUCUAUUUUCUUAGAUGACUAGGGGACUAGGUAAUAAUCCGCGCGAGCCUUGCGAGGAAUAUGAUUAUUAGUUUCGUUAUUUUUAAUAAAAAGACAUUAAAUCAGUUUAAUCUGGAUAUUAGUUCGGUAUUAAGUUUUUUUUCGUUUUUAAUCUUCUAAAAUAUAACUAUUAUUUUAAAUUAAUAUUCAUUUUAGUAUAUUCGGUUAAAAUAUUUGAAUUUUGGUUUUUUUUCCGGUAAAAACCAAAAUUAAUAUUAUUUAUUUAUUUUCAUGUUAUAAAUUUUAGAUAGUCGUCAUGUCGAACCAAUAGUUUCUAAACAGAUAAUAGUUUAAGAAAAAGAAAAGAAAAUUAUUAAGACAAAUCAUUUCACUACAAUUUGGUCGGUAGUGAAAGAAGCAUUAAGAAAUAAUAUUUCAACUUUUAAAAAAAUUAGAUACUUCAUUUGUGGUGAAUACUUAGUUACAAGGUAUUCACAUCAAGGUGCACAUAUAUGUGUAUGUAAAAAGUAUAUAAAAAUAGUUGACAAAUAUAUAAAUAUAUUGUUAAUUAAUAUUAAAUGAUAUUUUUUUUUCAUAAUAAUUAUGGGUGGGCGUUCGGAUACCCAUUCGGGCUCAGUUUGGAUCUAUUCGCGUUUCGGGUUUUCGGUUUAAAGAUUUCAGCCCCAUUCGGGUAUUUCUAAAUUUCGGUUCGGAUCCUUGCGGGUUCGGUUCGGAUUCGGAUAACCCAUUUAAAUUAUUUUUAAAAUUUUAAUAUUCAUUUUAUGCUUAAAAUUUCUCAAAAUCUAUAAAACAAAAUAAUAUAUUACAUAGAAUUUGUAUAAUAUAUGUCAAAAUAUCUAAAAUUUACAUAUAAAUUGGUUUGAUUUGAAUAUUUUGAUACAAAAUCAAUUGAUAUUUUAAGUAUUUUGGUGCUUUGAAUAUAUUUUAGCUAUUUUAGACAUUUACUUUUGACUAUUUAUGUAUAUUUUCAAGUUUUUUAGACAACUUAAAAAUAUCUUAUAUAUUUUAGAUGUGUUUAAUAUAUAUAUUAAAUCUAAAAAUAAGUAAUAUAUUUAGGUAUAUAAAUCUAUUUCGGUUAUGUUUGGGUACCCGAGAUAUUUCGGUUCGGGUCGGGUUCGGUUUCGAUUCUUUAGAUACCAAAAUAUUGAACCUGUUCGGAUAUUUAAUCAAUUUUGGUUCGGGUUCGGUACUACUUUUUCAGAUCGGGUUCGGUUCAGUUCUUCGGAUCCGGGUUUUUUGCCCAGCCCUAAUAAUAAUACAUGAAAGAUAAAAUUAAAAUUAAUUUAAAAUAAAAAAGGCUUUGACAUUAUUCAUUUUUUAUAUAUAAAGAAAAUAAAUUUGUAUCCGUAAACAGGGGUGGAUACAGAUCAAAUAUCUGGGUAUUUGGAAGCAUUCGUGUCGAUUCGAUCUUUAGCCACCUAGAUAUUUAGUGACUCGGAUAACCGAAAUGUUUUAGAAUUUUUAAAAAUAUAAUAAAUUUAAUUCAUAAAAAAUAUUGUAAAACUGAUAUAAAGUAUAAUAUAUAUAACGUAUAUAUAUAAUUUUUUACAUAUAUGUAUAUAUAGAUAUGCAUAUAACAUAUCGAACUAGAUAUAUGUUCCUAAAAAUAUUGGUAUUUGUGAUUUGCUUCUUUUUUGGAUAUUGUAUUUUAGUAUUUGAUUUGUUUCGUAGUGUUACAGAUAUCCAGAUUUUUUGGUUCAAAUCAAAACAUAUAACGAAUCAAAUCAAAAUUUAUGAAUAUUUUGCUCAAUUUUAUCCGUAAACAAUAAAAAUAAUAUAUAUAUAGUUUAGCUUUUGAUUCGUUAUCUAUUUUUAUUCAAACAAAAAAAUCCAGAGUUUUAUUGAAACUAUGUAUGUGAGUUUUAUAUUAAAAAAAUCGCAAAAUACAUAGUGUGAAUACAUUUAUGAAUAUAAUGUGAACGCGUUAACAUACUUAUUAUCAAAUCAUUGUAAGACUGUCACGUGUCUAGUGUGGAUACAUUUAUUGCAAUGCUUUUUUUUUAAUAUAUAAGGGAUAAAUGCACUAGUGCCUCUUGUGUAACUGUAACCAGGGACGAAUGUGAUGCAGCUCAAUCUCUGAUCGCACACAAUCAACACGAGACUGCCAAGGUUCACGACUCUCUUCCAUAUAGGAAUUUCCUUUUAUAUUAAAGUCGGUUUUAACUUUCCUUUUUAGGUGUUUUCGUUUUCCUUUUAGAAAGAGGAGUUAACUAAUCCUCCUAUAGGUUUAUGUUUUUCGUUUCUAGUAUUUAAAGGGUCCUAAUCAAGCUUGUAAGGUCACGAUUGGUUAAUAUUGAAUACAUCUUUAGAGUUUUUAAAAAGCUUUAACAAGCGCUGCGAAGAGUAUUCGCGUCCUAUUAUCCUUGUGUCCGAGUUACCUUCAAGAACAUGUUACCAAUCUAGUGAUCAAACCCUUGAUCCCUAGGUUUCCUAGCUUCCGCUCUCCAUCAGAAUAUAUAGGUGCACUUGUAGUCUUGUACCCACUAUUUUUUCUAAAAAGAAAUAUUUUCUAAAAAAAUGUUAAAAUCUAACAAAAAUGGGCAAAACUAACCUAGCAACCAGUAUUUUGUUGGUUUGCCUCCUCUGCUUUCACCAUUUUAUUUGUUCUUCUCUUUACAUUUACUUCAAUCAAUGUUAAAUUUAUUUGAUUUAAAAGAAUUUAUAAAAUGGAUGCAACACUAACUAGGCCUAGUAAAAUAAUCAUGUUGAAUUUUCGAAGGGCAUGCUGAUGUUGUUCUCUAUGCUUUCCUCCAUUACGUUUACGCCAAAUAGUGUACACCACUAGAGUCGGGCAUGUAGACAGUAUUAUAAAAAAAAUUGAAUGGAACACCCACUUUACAAGAGCCCUACUACAAAAAUUGUAUAUAUGUAUUUAUAUUUUUGAUAUAAUAACAUAGAUAUAUUAACUGUAAAAUAUUGAUAAAAAAUUUAGUUGAUAAAAAUAUAUUAAAUGAUCUAUACUAUUAUUUGCGAAGUAAUUUUUAGCAACGAAACUCUCACGUUGAAAGUUAGAGUUGUUAAUAUCUAUAUUACUCUUAAUGAAUUUUAUGUAUAUAUAUUAAUUAUAUAAUCAAAAACGAAUUUUGAUUAAUAAUGUCUUAUAUAUUAAAAGAGAAGUCACAACCUUGAUUCAUGUGUGAUUUUUUUAAAAAUGGACUAUCACUAGAAAGAAGUUAUGUUUCAUUUAUUUCUUAGUAACAUUUUGCUAUAAUUAAUUAAUCACAUAAUAAUAAUCGACUAUUAUAACAACUUUUUCCUAUAAAGCCGGCUCCGUUUAUGAAAACAUUUUAACCGAUAAAUCACCUAAUAUAUGUCGAUUUGGAGCUGUGCUUUACGCUCUUGUAUGCCCUAAACCUCCACCCACUGCGACUCCUUAGCAAGUUAAACUCUUUAAAGAAAUAACCUGUCCUUCAGUACUGCGUAAGAGAUCUUCUAUCAAAAGAAAAAUUGUUAGCGAAGCUCAGAAAACGUUUUGUAUCUCUCAUGCUAAUCAGUAUGUUGAAGCUGGAACUUACUUGCGUGUGCACGUUUAACCAAAACGUUCCCCAAGGUACACUGUUAGAAAACUGUUUGAAAAUUGGAAAGCUUUGGUGAUAAUAUUCACUGCACACAUGAUGGAUUGUAUCAGGUAUUAUGAAAUUGACUGGAAGUCGCGGAUUAUUGCUGUGACUGACUCUUCUUAUGUCGUUUUGGAUAAACUUGCCGGGACUACGGUACUUUUAUUCAUCCAUUGCACUAUCUCUUCUCAAUGUUCUUGACCACUGUAGUUUCACUAGAGAUCUUUAAAGAACUUUCUCUUGUGAAUAUUGUUAGUCUCAGUUUUAUACAUUUUGGGAUUGUACCAGAAUGUAUUUUUGUGUUCUAUUUCUUGGUAAUGAGGAUCGAAAAACAAUUCAUUCGAUCUUAAAACUUUAGAUACUAAAAAGCCAGGGUUCUCAGUGAUUCAGUGUGCUGACCCACAUGACCACAAUAAUUCAGUUUCUCAGGUUGGGGAAACCACAGAUAAUAUCGAAGAGAGCUGUGCGACAUUUUCCUUAUGUGCAUUAGAUUCCGCAGAACCACUGAAACAACACAUCAGAUUGAUAACUGCACAAAAGGCUGUACUUUCCCUUUUAAAACUUUUCUGCUUCAUACUUUUGCAGAUUUUUUUACUAAAAUUUGUAGAUUUAACUUCUUGAAAUGACCAGGUCGCAUUGCUUUUUUACUUUCUCUGUAGUAUAAUCUUUGCUAGGACAAAAGAGUAUUGAUCGGUCUUCCUCACAGAAAUACGAGUGAGUUUGCUUUGCUUCUAUUUCGUUUGACUGGAAAAUCAAGAAGACAUGGUGAAAUAUUUCAUUAUUUUCUAUAUGUUUUUACUUCUUUUCAAGAAUAAGGAGGUGAGGAAACUUCGUCGUGCUGUUGAGUCUUGAUACGGCCGUUGUAGUUCGAACUCUAACGGUCUAACCUAUGAUAAGUGGAAUAAAUCCUUGAUUUGUUUAUAGUUAUGAGUUUGGUUUUGCUGUGUACUUGGUCAUUUCAUAGCUCAGACCCAACAUAUAUACCCUCUCAUCCGACCACCAAAUAAUAUCCCAUCCAACCCAACACCUACAAUACAAUAUUAAGCUUCUUGAAUUAAGUCCUACUUAUUGAGUAACUAGCCUCUCUAUUUUGACUUGGGGUGCAUUGAACAACUCUGAUUAGUUAUUUCUUCAAAAUGAUUCUCAAUAUUUGUCUAUUGUGUAAUAUUUUAACUCGGUGUUUCUUAUAUUUUUAAAUUAAAAUAAAUUUAAAAAUAAAAUUUAUUAAUAUUGUAGAUUUUAUUAUUUUACCAAGUUUUAAUAGAAAUUUUAUUUAAUUAAGCAUUAUUAUUAAAAUUAAAAAUAAUUUUGCUUAUUUUAAAAUAUAUUUAAGAAUAUAUAUAGUUCUAUAUUAAAAAUAAUAAUCUUCGCUAAAAUUUUAUCUAUUUAUUUUGGUUAAAUAUAUUAAAUCAACCUUUUUUUUUGAAUUAAAUCAACCUUUAUAAAACUAAUAAAAUGAUAUACAAUUGUAUAAUUAUCAAAAAUAAAACUAAACAAUAUUUAUAAAGAAAACUUAGAUAUUAUAAAAGAAACUAAUGAUAUUACGAUUAAAUUUUGCUUAAAAUAAUAUAGAACGUUUUAAAAAAAUUAGUAAUAAAAAUUGUAUAAUUAUAAAAAUAGAAUAAAUCAUCUUUAGAAAUUUAGAAAAUCAUAUCUGAAUAUAUUUAUUUUAACAAUGAUGUAUGAAUUAUUACCAUAUUUUGAUAUACGAGUUAUUAUUAUAUUCUAAAAAUUUCAAUAUUUUAAUACAUUAGUAAUACGUUAAAUAUUUUAAUAUUAUAAUAUAUAUCACGAAUGUUGCAAAAAAAAUGUUUACGUAAUGGAAAUAAAUACCCGCGCUGUUGCGCGGGUCAAGAUCUAGUUAACUUGUUAAAACAAUAAGAUAAUUCUUAUAUAUUAUGUUGUUAUCUUAAAACAUAUGUUUCAAUUAUAAAUUUUAAAAAUAAAAUAUAAAACAAAGUUAGAGUGGUUAAUAUCUAUAUUACCCUUAAUGAAUUUUAUGUAUAUAUAUUAAUUAUAUAAUCAAAAACGAAUUUUGAUUAAUAAUAUUAACUUUUUAAAACAAUAAGAUAAUUCUUAUAUAUUGUGUUGUUAUCUUAAAACAUAUUCUUAUAUAUAUAUGUUUUAUUUUAAAAAAUAUAUAAAACAAUUAAUAAAUUUUAAUUAAACAUAUAUAUUUAAUUAACUUUGUUAUAUAUAUUUAUGUUUUAUUUAAUUUUUUGAAAACAUAAAUAAUAAGUUAUUAUGCUGAUUUUGAAUUAAAAAAAAUAAACUAAUAAAUAGUUGUAAAACGAUUAAGCCUGCAUAUGCGGGCAAGACACUUAGUUUUGUUAUUAUUAUUGUAGUUUAGAUAUAAAUAAGUAAUAUACUACAAAAUUAUGUUUUUGUAAACAAAAUUUUAUUUAUAAAUUUUACAAAAAAAUUAAAUAAUUAAUAAAUAUUUUUUCGAAUAAAGUCGCGGAAAUCGUUUUUUUAAAAGAAAUCUUAAGACCCACCACUCCGUGAAAGGAUGCAACUAACAAAGAGGGAGGGUCAGCUGACCCCACAAAAUAAUUAUUAAACAUUAAAGAUAAAUUUAAUUAUACAACUAAAAUAUUUAUACAUUUUUAUCUUUAAAACUUAAGAUAUGUUAGUUUUAAUCUCAUUUUUUUAUAGUUAAAAAAAAUUAUAACGCUGAUAUAAGAAAAAAAAAAUUCUGAUCUGGUAUAAAAUAUUUCGGGCUCCGGCGGACUGCAUGAAACAUGUAUUGCAAUGUAAAGAGAAUGGUAAUGUCCCAACCAUCAUCCACCAAGAAGAGUUGAACAAUAUAUAGUAUCCCAGCGGUUAGAGUAUUUAGCAUUUAUUAAAAGUUAUAGAUGAUCAAUGGUACAGAAAUUUACUACCUUUGCUAUCAAAGUACUGUUUAUAAGUAAAGGCAACAUCAGUAAUUAAUAUUUGCAGGAAUUUACAGAUGCAUGGUGAUCAAAAAGAGUUUCGAAGUAUCUGAUCAUACCAGAUUAAUUUGAGUCAUUGGUUGAUCCCAGUGGAUAAUCUUUUAUUAUUGGCCUCGAAGGCUUUAAUUAACAUUUAGUCUAUUCUGUUCAUUGGACUACUUGUGAAUAGAUUAAUUGUUCUGUUCUUUUUGGCGCAUCCUUAAUUAUCACUUUUUAUGAAGUAGCAAGAGUAACAAAAAUUAAAAAACACCUCUUUUAUUACGGUCUACGAGUAGUUCUUAUUACAUUAGCCGCGAUUUUAAAGUACAUUAUUUAUGGAACACAUACCAUGGCUGCGUAGUGUUAACAUACAUCAACAACCACACCCAUCAUCGUGGUAUAUACACUCAGAGGGUUUCGUUUUGAAUCUAGUAGGAGGGGCCAGGCAUGGUCUUCUGGAAGGGACAAACGCUAACUUGCGGGAUGUUGCAAACUUUAGGUAAGUGAGUAGCGGUCUGGUAGAUUCGGCUAAUUACAUGCUGCAUCUGCUGUCCCUGCAUUUGUCCCUGUUGUCGAACCUGCUGUUUAACGGCUUUGGAUGCUCCUUUCAAGGUUGGGCAAACGCAAAGUGGCUCUUCCUGGUGGAGCUCGUUGCAGCACUGCUGGAGUAGUGGCGGCCUCUGUUGUGGGCCCUGGGGGUUCUCCAUGUCAUCUUCAAAAUCAAACUCACCAUCGAGG